CAGUCGCCACGGGAAUACGUAGGGUGCAAGCGUUAAUCGGAGUUACUGGGCGUAAAGCGUGCGCAGGCGGUUUGUUAAGUCAGAUGUGAAAUCCCCGAGCUUAACUUGGGAACUGCAUUUGAAACUGGCAAGCUAGAGUCUUGUAGAGGGGGGUAGAAUUCCAGGUGUAGCGGUGAAAUGCGUAGAGACCUGGAGGAAUACCGGUGGCGAAGGCGGCCCCCUGGGCAAAGACUGACGCUCAGGUGCGAAAGCGUGGGGAGCAAACAGGAUUAGAUACCCGCGUAGUCCCUGUCUCUUAUAC
rnacentral:rRNA from 1 species